ACUAGCCUUCUGCAACUAAAAUAAGCUAAAAUGUGGAAGGAGGUAAUUGUUGGGUAAGACAUGGCACUGUUAACGAUGUUGAUUCUCUGGCUUCAGAGAUCUUCGGGAUUUUUCAUAUGGUAAAUUUCUGAUGCUCCACCUCAAAGAUUUGAAGCCUGAUCUCUUCGUUCUAUAUCCAAGAAAAGGAAGUCAUUGUACAAUAGACUGAGUAUUCUGGAGCAAAAGGUCAUCCAACGUUAUAAAAGCUUGCCUGAGACCAAAGCAUGGAAAGGAAAUCCUCCUCCCAGGCAGUGUUAAGUUGUCUGUUCCCUUCUUGGCA
rnacentral:lncRNA from 1 species